UGGAAGUCCAGUCAGUGGGUCACGUCCU
rnacentral:piRNA from 1 species